rnacentral:rRNA from 1 species
UGGGGAAUAUUGCACAAUGGGCGCAAGCCUGAUGCAGCCAUGCCGCGUGUGUGAAGAAGGCCUUCGGGUUGUAAAGCACUUUCAGCGAGGAGGAAGGCGUUAAGGUUAAUAACCUUGGCGAUUGACGUUACUCGCAGAAGAAGCACCGGCUAACUCCGUGCCAGCAGCCGCGGUAAUACGGAGGGUGCAAGCGUUAAUCGGAAUUACUGGGCGUAAAGCGCACGCAGGCGGUUUGUUAAGUCAGAUGUGAAAUCCCCGAGCUUAACUUGGGAACUGCAUUUGAAACUGGCAAGCUAGAGUCUUGUAGAGGGGGGUAGAAUUCCAGGUGUAGCGGUGAAAUGCGUAGAGAUCUGGAGGAAUACCGGUGGCGAAGGCGGCCCCCCUGGACAAAGACUGACGCUCAGGUGCGAAAGCGUGGGGCAGCAAACAGGAUUAGAUACCCUGGUAGUCCACGCUGUAAACGAUGUCGAUUUGGAGGUUGUGGGCUUGACCCGUGGCUUCCGGAGCUAACGCGUUAAAUCGACCGCCUGGGGAGUACGGCCGCAAGGUUAAAAC